GUCUUUUUGAAUAUAAUUUAAAGUCUAAUCUGCUCAAUGAAAUAAUUUAAAUAGCUGCAAUAAUUUAAUUGUACUAAGGUAGCAUAAUAAAUAGUUUCUUAAUUAGAAUCUAGAAUGAAUGAUUUAAUGAAAAAUUUAUUUUGUAAAUUUUACUAUUUAAACUUUUUUUUAAUUUAAAAAAAUUAAUUAAUUAAAAUAGACAAAAAGACCCUAUAAAAUUUUAUAAAUUUAAUUUUAAUAUAUUUACAUUAAAUUUAUUUAGUUGGGGAAACUUUUAUAUAUAUUAAACUAUAAAAUUUUUUACAUUAAUACAUGUAUAAAUAAAUUUUUAUUUUUUAAAAAUAAAUAAAUUACUUUAGGGAUAACAGAAUAAUUUUUUUAAAAAGUACAAAUUUAUAAAAAAAUUUAUUACCUCGAUGUUGAAUUAAAAUAAAAUUUUUAUGAAAAUUUAAAUAAUUUAAGUCUGUUCGUCUUUUAAUAUUUUACGUGAUCUGAGUUCA
rnacentral:rRNA from 1 species